AGAUGCAACCCCAGGAGACGUCCCUGUGGCAGCCAGUGUCAGCUGCUUCCUUCCCCAGCGUUUUGCUUCAGCCCUCACUCCUCAGCCACUUCCACUGCUCCUGUGGUUAGUGACCGCCUCUGCCUCCUCCACUACCCGGACAGCUUGGUGAAUACUUCCAGGGAAAAUUCUGCUUAAAUUCCGCUGGUGGCAUGCCCAUAAGCAUUUCCAGAUCUGAAGGCGCUUGCGCCUUUCCUAGUACUCUACUGUCCACAGGGCCACAGAGUCUCAACUGCUGGAUAUUGUCCAAGUCCUCUUCAUUGCAGCUGUGAUGGCUACACGGCCAGGCCUGGCUCGGAGGCACAAAGCCGGUUUUUUGUGUGACCACAGAAAGGUCAUCCCAACACUGAAUUUUAUCACCCCUUGGGGAGAUGCUAACAUAGGAGUCAAAAUAGCGAAGGUUUAAGGUGAGAGGCGCGCUCCCGGUUACAGGUAUCCGUGGUCAUUCUUCUGAAUCUCUAGAAAUCGGACUCAGGCGCUCCUCUCUUUGGGGCUCCUCGCAGGCGACUGCAUUUGCUGCGCGGCGCGGCCAGGCGGGUCCUUAGCGCCGGCACCGUCGCCCUCGGCAUCCCACAGCGCGCAGCGCAGCCACCGCUCUUCUCUCCCACCUGCUCCGUGCAGAAGGGAAGAAGAGCCAGUCGAGCUGGAGGUCCAGCCAGCCCUUGGCCUCCAAGAAGGAAAAGGACGGCGCUGAGAAGCGAGGUGGGGGCAGCUCCACGUCCGAAGGAGCCCAGCACGUGCUAACACCUAAGACCCUGGGCAACCGAAAGGAAGCAAACCCCAGGAUGCUGCCACGACCCGGAAAACCACCACAGCUCCAGGAGGGAAAGCAAAGGGCCGGCCCAAAACACUGGGAAGGAGGAAGAGGGAGCAUCUCUCGGGAGUCCUCCCGGGAGGAGCCACUUCCUUCUGGGACCGGACAGUUUUGCUCACCCCCAUUGCCCCUGUCCUUCCCCCAGGCCACCGUCACCUGCACCGCCCACCUGCGUCCUCACCACCGCGGCAGGGCCCCUGUUGGCCCAGUGACAGCAGUGUUCCUCUGGCUUCAGUUCCCAGCCACGCACACACUUGCCCUCCUGGACGAGGGUAACAGCCCACUUCACGCUGCUGCACCUGCUGCGGCCCCACUCCCUUGUUGGUGGGGACUUUGCUUUCUGGGUUUCUGCUUUGGGGGCUCCUUCUCGGCUCCUCCACUGUUUCCUCUGACUUCCCAGAGGGCUCCCCGGCCAUAAAAGAGGCCCAAGCCCCAUCUCAUUCUGGCAUGUCCCACUCUAUUGUCCUGGAGGCAGCACCUGUGGCCAUUGGAGGGGGGUGCUCCCAGAAUGCCCCCAGCCAACCUGUGUCUUUGUCACCACGUGGGGCUCACACAUCCAUCUUUCAUCUUCCCCCACCUUUCCUAGUUCCUGCACCAGGUUGGACAGCUCCCUUUGUAGUACAGGAAGGCAGGCAGGGUUUGAGACCCCUACCCCAUUUUCACAGGGGCCCCAGCUCCCUUGCCCUCAGCCUGGGCUCUGAGUACACAUUGCAGUGAUGGAGAUGUAGAGUCACGGGUUGUUCAGGUGAGGCCCAGGUUCCCUGGGCAGCCACCUGAGGCCGCCUGGGGUUGCUCACCCAACCCUACCUGUUCCCACCACUCGGUCUAUUUCCCCCUCCUCAGACAGGACACUAAUAACAAGGAGCUUGCCCUGCAGGCUCCCAACCCUCCCGCUCUUCCCUACCCCACAGGGUUCUGGUUCCAUCAUUUCCUCUGUUCACAAACUAUCACUGGACAGUUGUGUUGUCUCUUGUACAAUGUUCCAUUCUUCAACAUCUAUCAUUGCUGCUGCUCCCAGCACCAAAUGUUCACCCUCUGCCUCCUGCUCUGCACACAUUCCCCUCCCUCAAGAUAGCCUCCAUGAGACAGGGGGUCUGCAGCUUGGCAGGCUGGCUGGGUUACUGACUAUCCCAGUCCCAGGGAAGAUAGGGCCCUGUCUCUAGGAUGCUGCAGCAGAGUGAGGAGGGGCACUCAAAUUGACCCUAAAGGGUGGAGGGGCCACCUUCUCCCCCUGUUUGGUUGGGGAAUGGGUAGUUAUUAUUUGUCUCAGCUUGGGGCUCUGCCUCUAGCUUCCUACUUGCAGUUACUUAAGUUAAAAAAGAAAAUCCUGUUCUAA
rnacentral:lncRNA from 1 species